AUUUUUUUCUGGACUGGGAAAAGACCAGUGUCUCCAGCUUUUUUUGGGUUUCAACAAGAAGCCACUUACUACGAAAAGUCUCAGUUGCGAACCAUUUAGAGCUCUUCAACAAGAACGUGGUGUGGGUAGCUAAAAGAUCACAGACCAGACUGGUGCAUCUCUUGUACAACUCACAGCCAAACGGCAGCUUCAGAAGGAGAGAGGGCUGCACAUAACAGGUGG
rnacentral:lncRNA from 1 species